GGCGGUAGUUUCGUUUGGGGAAGAUGUAGAGAAGGAAAAAGAGGAUGAGUUUGUCAUGGAAAUUCCUGAUGGUCUUGAGUUUAUAGAGGAAGAGUUUAUAGAGCCUAUGGCGGAGUCAGAUAUUUCUGAUAGCGACGAUAUCGGAUCUCUAGAGGAGCCCGUAGAGUUACUCUCAGAACGGGAAAUAACGGAACUCGAGAAGGAUCUAGCGGACAUUGACGUCCACCCCUAAAUACGAAC